rnacentral:miRNA from 1 species
UUCAGGCGCUCUUUUGCAUGAC